rnacentral:rRNA from 1 species
GAUGAACGCUGGCGGCGUGCCUAAUACAUGCAAGUCGAACGAGGUGCUUUUGUAGCAAUACGAAAGUAUCCUAGUGGCGAACGGGUGAGUAACGCGUUGGUGACCUACCCCAAAGUGUGGAAUAACAGUUCGAAAGAACUGCUAAUACCGCAUGUGGUUAUCGGGUUUAGAAACUGAUAACUAAAGGAGCAAUUCGCUUUGGGAGGGACCUGCGUCCCAUCAGCUAGUUGGUGAGGUAAUGGCUCACCAAGGCGACGACGGGUAGGGGACCUGAGAGGGUGACCCCCCACAAUGGAACUGAAACACGGUCCAUACACCUACGGGUGGCAGCAGUAGGGAAUAUUGCACAAUGGGCGAAAGCCUGAUGCAGCAACGCCGCGUGUGCGAUGAAGGCCUU